GCUAAAGAAUUUUGUAGGUUUCUACUCUAAAUUGAAAGACGAAGCAUGAUUUUUCAUACUUGACCAUCUUGAUGAUCUCAAGAAAGCCAAGAAGGAUGCUGCUCUUUCUAGUGAUGAAGUAAAGGUUAUGGCCUUUGAUGAGGAAAUUCAGCCAAUGGAGAUAUAUGUGGAUGAUGAGGCCAAGUUGACCUUACAUGGUCUCGUACAUGUUUUUCAUAGCUGAUCAGGUUCAUUUUCCCACUUCGUUGUGGUGGAAGAUUGCUGAUAUUGGUUUAUUUCUUCCUAGAUGUAAAAUUGUCUAAAAAAUUAUCUGGAUAUCUGGGCCCUAUGCAAGUUUGAUUCAUAGAUUUUUGUAGUAAUCUGGAAAAUUUAGAAAAUAGUUGUUAAUACUUGUAAAACCAUGUUGUUGUUGUUGUUGUUGUUGUUUUUUUUUUUUUUGCUUGCAGAAUUAUACAUGCGAAUGUUGAGCCUUUCAGCUGUUAGUUGCUUUCUAUUCCACAUAUAAAAUUGUUUCCUAUCACUUCUUAUGUUGUUAGUCUCCCUCUAUAUUGUUACACAUACAAUUUGUUAUUGGUAGACUCUCAUGUCUUAUCUAAUGGUACAAUACACACUAAUAAUUAGCCAUUUGCAUUGAUUAGUUGGUGCCAACUGUCACAGAGUUCGUGAUAGUAGAACCGCUUUACUUGCAAUGGAUGGAUCCAAACUAGCCAAUUUAUCUUUACAUCAAUUCAACUGGAACAGCUCGUGAUGAUGGUGAAACAGGUUUUGAUAUGAAACUAAUCAAUGUAAAUCGGACUUGCAAAGUUACAAAGGGAGGACAAGUGGUCAAGUACACUGCCACGUGAACUUGUGGCAACUAUCAUAGAGUUGUAGGCUUUGCAAAAGGAAAAGGCUCAACAAUUCCCAUUGCCCUCCAGAAGCAAAAGAGUGACUAUUUUACCUCCAUUUGUUGCCAUUCUGAGACGCUGGCAGCCACUUUUGGCAGGUAUUCAUGAACUUACUUCUUCAGAUGGUCUGAAUCCCCUCGUUGUUGAUGAUCGUGCUUUGGCAGCAGAUGCACUGCCUCUUGAGGGAGGAGGAUGGUGCAACAAUGUUAUGACUUGCCUCUCAUGAAAAGAAAACCAUUUGGGUUCAUCCAAGAAGACUGGGUUUGAUGUCUACUUCUCCAUGGCUAGGGGGAAUGCCACUUUGCCUGCUAUGGAAAUGACCAAGUGCUUCGACAUCAGCUACAGUAGUUAAAAUAGUCAUGGCUGGAGCUGGAUGUGAAAAUGGUAGUAAAGUGGAACAAGUUAGAACUGAAUGGUAACCAUUCUUUUCUCUAUUGGAAGCUCCAUACUUCCACAGGUAGGGCCCACGGUAAUGUUUAUAACUGGUCUUUUUGUUGGUGCGCAAGUAAUCACAAAGUGUGAAGGUAAGCAGGAACUGAUUUGAGCAUGGGAAUGAAGAAGCUUCAGCUUCAAAAUGUUAGCAAGUAUGAACAGCUAAGAGGCAGGAGCAGUAGCACAAAUCAAAAACACAAUUCAAAGUGAUAGUGGCACCUGGGUAAAAAAUUUUGCAGUGAUCUUCAUUUUGUGAGUAAGAUUGUCUUGUG